rnacentral:misc_RNA from 1 species
GUGUUGCUUACCUGCGGAAAGGAAUUCGAUGGUUUUGUUGUCUCCAUCCGCCUUGUGCCCUUCGGGGUACGGGGUGGACGCGAGGCGGGCUCUGUGUUCCCUGCGUGUUGAGUGCACUGUCACUUGACCGUUGUGGCCCAUGGGGUCUCAGCCCGUGCUCUCGGAUGUGGAAUGUUGUGUUUGGGGGUGGGGUCUCGACCUCUUCUCGUCCAAGCAACACGCAAUGUCCCUUGACAUGAAUGACCGUCGCUCCCGUCUUGAUCGGACGACCGAGCCCCCAUUGCGGGGUCUUGGGAGGUCGGUUCAUGCGGGUGUUGGCGUCGUAGAGGAAUGC